rnacentral:tRNA from 1 species
GGGUGUAUAGCUCCAAUGGUAGAGCGGCUGAUUCCAAAUCAGUAGGUUGGGGGUUCGAAUCCCUCUGCGCCCGCCA